CGCACACUCUUCUGUGGCAUCCACUAUUAUGGAGUCAUGGGUGUUUUCACACUCGGUCCGUUCGCGGGAUUUUUGGCCCAUAUGUCAACAAUCCAAACGAUCGCACAUUUUCAAGGCGAACCGAAACGAGACAAUCUCGACGAAACUGAUCUCUGCUUGAAGAUGAACAGAACACUGAAACACUAAAAACCAACCAUCUACAACAAAAGGGCUUUCCCAGCACUAGGAUCUACUUAACGGCUGAUGUGGCCCCUGUACCAAAACAAUUGCACACCUCUGCUCAUUUGAAUAUGACAAAUACUGUAAAUUGGCAAGCAGAUUUUCUUGAAUCCCAGCAAACACAAAAAUCCCUGUAUUUUGUGAACACAAAAAAUGCUGCAUCAAUGGAUGUCCUAAUCUGCAGGCGCAGCAUUUUGCUCUCAUUUUC